ACCUACGGGGGGCAGCAGUAGGGAAUAUUGGGCAAUGGGCGCAAGCCUGACCCAGCAACGCCGCGUGAAGGAAGAAGGCUUUCGGGUUGUAAACUUCUUUUCUUGGGGACGGAGAAAGUGACGGUACCCAAGGAAUAAGCCACGGCUAACUACGUGCCAGCAGCCGCGGUAAUACGUAGGUGGCAAGCGUUAUCCGGAUUUAUUGGGUGUAAAGGGCGUGUAGGCGGGAUUGCAAGUCAGAUGUGAAAACCACGGGCUCAACCUGUGGCCUGCAUUUGAAACUGGAGUUCUU
rnacentral:rRNA from 1 species